rnacentral:tRNA from 1 species
GUGGUCGUAGCUCAACUGGUAGAGCCACAGGUUGUGAUCCUGUUUGUUACGGGUUCGAGUCCCGCCGGCCACCCCU